CGCAGCGUGGAGAUGGAGAAACGCCGCAGCUGCUUGGCGCGCUCCCCGUUGCUGAACGCCACGCCUGGGGAGAUUGACAUCUCUGGCAUAGUCAGCAAGAUGCAGAGCGACCUUCCUCAGCAUCCCAGUGCUCUCUUGGACUUAUGCAAGGUACCUGCUCAGAAAAUUAAUUGGUCUGUUAUAUAAUCUUGUGGGCAAAUGAAGGAUGAGCCAGUUUCCCACCUCAGUCUACUUACUGAAAGAUGCUGAGCACUACUGGAACUCAACAGACCCUCCAUAAGAUGUGGAACCUGCAAGAAAAGUUCAUUCUCCAAACUCACUACACUACCUGCUGUGGAUUGAUCAAAUUGUGUCCCCAAAG